GACGAACGCUGGCGGCGUGCUUAACACAUGCAAGUCGAACGGAAAGGCCCUGCUUUUGUGGGGUGCUCGAGUGGCGAACGGGUGAGUAACACGUGAGUAACCUGCCCUUGACUUUGGGAUAACUUCAGGAAACUGGGGCUAAUACCGGAUAGGCGCUCCUGCUGCAUGGUGGGGGUUGGAAAGUUUCGGCGGGUGGGGAUGGACUCCCGGCUUAUCAGCUUGUUGGUGGGGUAGUGGCUUACCAAGGCUUUGAUGGGUAGCCGGCCUGGGGGGGGGACCGGCCAAAUGGGGACUGGGAUACGGCCCAGACUCCUACGGGAGGCAGCAGUGGGGAAUAUUGCACAAUGGGCGGAAGCCUGAUGCAGCAACGCCGCGUGCGGGAUGACGGCCUUCGGGUUGUAAACCGCUUUCGCCUGUGACGAAGCGUGAGUGACGGUAAUGGGUAAAGAAGCACCGGCUAACUACGUG
rnacentral:rRNA from 1 species